UGCCAGCCGCCGCGGUAAUACGAAGGGUGCUAGCGUUGUUCGGAAUUACUGGGCGUAAAGAGCAUGUAGGCGGAUGAAUUAGUCAGAGGUGAAAGCCCCGAGCUCAACUUGGGAACUGCCUUUGAUACUGUUUAUCUAGAGUCCGAGAGAGGUUAGUGGAAUUCCCAGUGUAGAGGUGAAAUUCGUUGAUAUUAUCUGGAACACCGGUGGCGAAAGCGGCUCACUGGAUCUCUUCUGACGCUGAGGAACGAAAGCUAGGGUAGCGAACGGGAUUAGAUA
rnacentral:rRNA from 1 species